rnacentral:rRNA from 1 species
GACGAACGCUGGCGGCGUGCCUAAUACAUGCAAGUCGAGCGGACCAAACAGGAGCUUGCUCUUGUUUGGUUAGCGGCGGACGGGUGAGUAACACGUGGGUAACCUGCCCGUAAGACCGGGAUAACUCCGGGAAACCGGAGCUAAUACCGGAUAACACCGAAGACCGCAUGGUCUUUGGUUGAAAGGCGGCUUCGGCUGCCACUUACGGAUGGGCCCGCGGCGCAUUAGCUAGUUGGUGGGGUAACGGCUCACCAAGGCGGCGAUGCGUAGCCGGCCUGCGAGGGUGACCGGCCACACUGGGACUGAGAACCGGCCCAGACCCCUACGGGAGGCAGCAGCAGGGAAUCUUCCGCAAUGGACGAAAGGCUGACGGAGCGACGCCGCGUGGGCGAAGAAGGGCUUCGGAUCGGAAAGCUCUGUUGUUAGGGAAGAAGAAGCGCCGUUCGAACAGGGCGGCGCGGUGACGGUACCUAACGAGAAAGCCCCGGCUAACUACGUG